CAUAAUGAAUUGUAUAAGGGCAGGUAGAAAGAGAUCCUUGUUUGAUGAGCUGAAUGAAAUCACUGAAGCCAUGUCUCCAGACACCAUCUGAAGACCUAGCCCAUAGGAUCCCUCAUCUGAAAUGGUGUAAGACACCAGUUAUGAAUCCCAAGAUCUUUGGAUCAGACCCAUGCUGCAGAUGCAUCAUUCUUCCAUCUGAGGUGUAAUUUCACAUGUCAUUGUCAGAGCUAUCAGAAGAGCCUCAGGCAAAGUUGGGAAAGAACAUCUACAUCUGGACAGAGACCUUGAGAUGUAAGCAGGACAACGAUUUUAAGAAGACUACAAUGAUUUUUCUUGGUCUAAAAAUCAAAAUAAAUAUAUUUCUUUAUUUUUAACUCUUAACAGCCAUCUUGGCUAGAAAAUGUAAAACUUUUUCCCAUUAAUUAAUCCAGCUGGAGAACUUCUGCAUCAGCUGUACCCUACCUAAGUUCUAUUAGGUUAAAUGUGGAGUAUUCCUACUUUCCUUUCAUAUAGGAAACGUAUGUAAUCUACAUGCAAACAUCGUUUUUGUAAGAGUCACUGAUCUAAUCUCAGUCGUUUAUAUAAACAUGUUGAACAUGACGUAUCAGAAUGACCCCUUGACUUCUGAGAGGUUUUUCAUCUGUGAACAGUUAUGCAUGUACAGCUCAGACUCCUAGUGGUACUAGGGGAGGGGUGUUCAUUAACUCUCAAGACAAGGGCCGAUAUUCAAUCAAACUAAAUGAAGAGAAUUGCUUGUAAAUCUCAGGCUUUACAUGUUUGGUUAUCCUGUAAAAAAAAAAAUAAACUACCUCUAUAAGCCUGAUAGUUGGAGUAAGCAAUUCGAUUCUUUUUAGGGAUAUAGAGUAAAUGCUGGUAAUAGCCAAGAAAAAGUAAUGUAAGAGCUAUUGUUGCAUACCCAGUCAUCGUUGCUCUCCUAGUAUGCUGUGAACACCUGCAUUUUUCUGUUGUGACUUCAAAUAGAUAAAAGAUGUCAAAAUAAUCUGUCUGGUUUUAUAUAGAAAUGUGAUUUUCAAAUUUUGUUAGCACCUUACAAUAUUUAGCAUGAAAAUAUAAUCCUACUACAUCCUUUAAAUAGGUUAAUUUGAAAAAAUAACAUCUAAAAAAUUCUUUCAGUUGGUGUUGGGGGGAAAAAAUAGUUUCGCUUCUGGUGUCUUCAAAUGCUGCCCAUCUUUCUGUAAUUGUAUAACACUAUCACUAUUCGCUAUUCUGUCUAUUCUUGCAUAGAGAAUUGAAACAUCACUUGAGUUUCCUCUGAGGAUGGAUUAACAAGAUUUGCUGUGACAUGACUUGAUUAAUUAAUGAGACUAGAGUAUUCUUUGGCCCUGGUGUGCUGUUCUUGAACUUCUUAGAUGGGAAAAUUCUAACCUUCAAUAUUUGAGAAGCCAACUGGGUAAAGCAAAACUCUUGUAUGACCUUCACUAAUAAUAAAACUGAAAAUCCAUUAUAGAGGGUACCUGAAUAGCUGUACAUAUUCAAGGUGAUUUUUUUUCAUAUUUGAAGAAUGAAAGUGCGCACGGUUAUAGCAGAGUACAGAAAAAUACGUCACCGACUGUUUAAAAUAUAAUUAGAUGCCUUUCUACUGUUCUUUCAGCAAUCUUCUACACAAAGAAAUAGCUUUUGCAAGUGCUGCACUGCAGAAGUCAUUUCACUCUGUGUACAUACCCCUAAGGAAAUAAGGAAUGUUCUCAAAGGGCAAAUACCUGAUGAAAGCCAGCACAUCCCAUCCGUUGACCCUGCUUUAGAAAUUUCUUGUCCAUGAUUGACUAUCAGGCUACAUAGGGAAGUGUUGAGAGCCAUGUCUGUGAUAUACUUGUGAGAUACACAUUUUAAAGCUACUGGGUCUACCUAUCUCACCAGGAGACUGAAAUUAGUCUAAGACAAUAAAAUUCCUUCCAUUUUACAGCUGACUUAAGGCUAUCAUCAAGCAUAGCUGGCAGAAGUAAUAAGAAUCUGGAUUUAGAGACCUGACAAUGCUGUAAAUUGGAUUAUUUGUGGAGCAUAGUUGGUUUGGUGAUUAAGUCAACAUUUCAGUGGAGUCUCUUGGGAUCUAUAGUUUGCAUAUUGGUGCUAAGGGUGUCAGAUAAUUUUUCACCUUCUGUUUCCUUCCUGCUCCCAUCAAAGAAAUCCUUUGUGAAUCAAAGCUUGUGGAACUUACUUACUAUUUGUGCUCUUAUCAAUAAAUUGAUUUUCAGUAUGUGACUGUAAA